rnacentral:rRNA from 1 species
UACGAAGGGGGCUAGCGUUGUUCGGAAUUACUGGGCGUAAAGGGUGCGUAGGCGGGUCUUUAAGUCAGGGGUGAAAUCCUGGAGCUCAACUCCAGAACUGCCUUUGAUACUGAGGAUCUUGAGUUCGGGGAGAGGUGAGUGGAACUGCGAGUGUAGAGGUGGAAAUUCGUAGAUAUUCGCAAGAACACCAGUGGCGAAGGCGGCUCACUGGCCCGAUACUGACGCUGAGGCACGAAAGCGUGGG